rnacentral:rRNA from 1 species
GUAGGAGGCAAGCGUUAUCCGGAAUGACUGGGCGUAAAGGGUGCGUAGGUGGUUUGACAAGUUGGUAGCGUAACUCCGGGGCUCAACCUCGGCACUACUACCAAAACUGCCAAACUUGAGUGCAGGAGGGGCAAAUGGAAUUCCUAGUGUAGCGGUGGAAUGCGUAGAUAUUAGGAGGAACACCAGUGGCGAAGGCGAUUUGCUGGACUGUAACUGACGCUGAGGUUCGAAAGCGUGGGUAGCAAA